rnacentral:rRNA from 1 species
UUAACGGAGAGUUUGAUCCUGGCUCAGGACGAACGCUGGCGGCGUGCCUAAUACAUGCAAGUCGAGCGGACAGAAGGGAGCUUGCUCCCGGACGUUAGCGGCGGACGGGUGAGUAACAC